GUGGCCUAAGUGUGCUGAUGGUGGGAGUGAAUGAGUGGACGGGUGGGACCUGUGAGGGGAACGCGACCCCGGGUCGGCGCGGGCAGAGAGGCGCGCGGUGCGUGAGGGCGCGACCUGCCAUGUCCUGCCGGGUGUCACCGCUUAUGCGCCCGUGGGAGGGGAGCAUUCUGUGUUGGAGGCAGAAGGAAUGAGGGUCGUGACCAACUCAUUAUACCACUGGAGGCUCUAUGAGCAAACCGCAAACUGUUCUCAUGAAAGCAGGAUGUUGGUAAACUGACAAACUGCGUCUGCCGCCAGAAGGAAUGCUGGGGGCAGUCAUGUCCCAGGUCCCCUGCUCCUUGAGGUUAUCUACAGGAACAUCUGGAACCUGCUGAACAAAGAAAGCAGUCAUAAGCAACCGUGACAAGUGGUGCCCGACCAGGGACCUGAACGAGGAAGGUCUGCCAGAGCAGAGAAAGUGAAACUGAUCAGACGAACUACGAACCCCUGGACGGGAGAGUCUGCCGGCGGAGAAUAUAAGGAGAUGGACAAACCGUGUGGGUGCCCUCCAGGUGUGUGUGACCAUGGAACGGGAGACCGGAGGGAUCCAUGGUAUUCAACCGUGGGCCUGUUACCUCCAGUACGAGCCAUGAGCCAGCGGAAUCUGAAUGCAAAGACAGAACAAGGGCCGACCGGAGUCACAAUGACAUCCAACCCCAUAACAUGGGGACAGAUCAAGAAAACGACACAAGAAGCUGAGAAACUACUGGAGCGCCAGGGUCAGGCAAAAACCCCUGACUCCAUGUUCUUGGCCAUGCUAGCUGUAGUGUCCUGUGCGUCUAUAGGAUCGGGUGAACCACCAACCGGCAAUUGAAAGC
rnacentral:lncRNA from 1 species